rnacentral:rRNA from 1 species
AGCGAACGUUUGCGGCGGGCUUAACACAUGCAAGUCGAACGAGAAUCAUUCCUUCGGGGAUGAGGAAAGUGGCGCACGGGUGCGUAACACGUGGGUAAUCAACCCUCUAGAUCGGAACAACCCGGGGAAACUCGGGCUAAUACCGGAUGUGGCGGCAGAGUCUUCGGGCUUUGUCGUGAAAGGAGCAAUCCGCUAGAGGACGAGCCCGCGGCCCAUCAGGUAGUUGGAGGGGUAAUGGCCCACCAAGCCGAAGACGGGUAGCUGUUCUGAGAGGAUGAUCAGCCACACUGGAACUGAGACACGGUCCAGACUCCUACGGGAGGCAGCAGUGGGGAAUAUUGCGCAAUGGGCGAAAGCCUGACGCAGCCACGCCGCGUGAGCGAUGAAGGCCCUAGGGUCGUAAAGCUCUGUGGAGGGAGAAGAAACCUGACGGUAUCCCUUUAGCAAGCACCGGCUAACUCCGUGCCAGCAGCCGCGGUAAUGUCGAGCGUACG